UUGUAAGCCCAGUAAGAUUGAGCUAAGGCUAUGUUUAGAGGUUGUGGCUGCUGCGGGGACAGUCGGUAUUGAUGUUGCUGCUGUGGAAUAAGAAUAAAAAUGUAGUUUGUCGCGUAGUUGGAUCGCGAAUGAGCUUUACCUUUUCAGGAACCAGAUGAAGAA